GAUCCUGGCUCAGAUUGAACGCUGGCGGCAGGCCUAACACAUGCAAGUCGAACGGUAACAGGAAGAAGCUUGCUUCUUGCUGACGAGUGGCGGACGGGUGAGUAAUGUCUGGGAAACUGCCUGAUGGAGGGGGAUAACUACUGGAAACGGUAGCUAAUACCGCAUAACGUCGCAAGACCAAAGAGGGGGACCUUCGGGCCUCUUGCCAUCGGAUGUGCCCAGAUGGGAUUAGCUAGUAGGUGGGGUAACGGCUCACCUAGGCGACGAUCCCUAGCUGGUCUGAGAGGAUGACCAGCCACACUGGAACUGAGACACGGUCCAGACUCCUACGGGAGGCAGCAGUGGGGAAUAUUGCACAAUGGGCGCAAGCCUGAUGCAGCCAUGCCGCGUGUAUGAAGAAGGCCUUCGGGUUGUAAAGUACUUCAGCGGGGAGGAAGGGAGUAAAGUUAAUACCUUUGCUCAUUGACGUUACCCGCAGAAGAAGCACCGGCUAACUCCGUGCCAGCCGCCGC
rnacentral:rRNA from 1 species